rnacentral:misc_RNA from 1 species
GAUGAAGAACGCAGCGAAAUGCGAUAAGUAAUGCGAAUUGCAGAAUUUCCGUGAGUCAUCGAAUCUUUGAACGAACAUUGCGCCCACUGGUAUUCCGGUGGGCAUGCCUGUUCGAGCGUCAUUAUCCUCCCUCAAACCUCGGGUUUGGUGUUGGACCCAAGUUGUGUGAACAACUGGUCUUAAAGACAAUGACGGCGUCCGUGGGACCCUCGGUGCAACGAGCUUUUAGGAGCACGCGUGGAGUUUCAAGGACCUUCCGGGCCGGUCUCCUUUACCAUUUUACAAGGUUGACCUCGGAUCAGGUAGGAAUACCCGCUGAACUUAAGCAUAUCAAUAAGCGGAGGA